CCAUGCCGAACUCAGAAGUGAAACGCAAUUGCGCCGAUGGUAGUGUGGGGUUUCCCCAUGUGAGAGUAGGUCACUGCCA
rnacentral:rRNA from 1 species